rnacentral:rRNA from 1 species
GGAAGGCAGCAGUAGGGAAUCUUCCGCAAUGGACGAAAGUCUGACGGAGCAACGCCGCGUGAGUGAUGAAGGUUUUCGGAUCGUAAAGCUCUGUUGUUAGGGAAGAACAAGUGCAAGAGUAACUGCUUGCACCUUGACGGUACCUAACCAGAAAGCCACGGCUAACUACGUGCCAGCAGCCGCGGUAAUACGUAGGUGGCAAGCGUUGUCCGGAAUUAUUGGGCGUAAAGGGCUCGCAGGCGGUUUCUUAAGUCUGAUGUGAAAGCCCCCGGCUCAACCGGGGAGGGUCAUUGGAAACUGGGAAACUUGAGUGCAGAAGAGGAGAGUGGAAUUCCACGUGUAGCGGUGAAAUGCGUAGAGAUGUGGAGGAACACCAGUGGCGAAGGCGAC